AGUGAACGCUGGCGGUAGGCCUAACACAUGCAAGUCGAACGGCAGCACAGUAAGAGCUUGCUCUUACGGGUGGCGAGUGGCGGACGGGUGAGGAAUACAUCGGAAUCUACUUUUUCGUGGGGGAUAACGUAGGGAAACUUACGCUAAUACCGCAUACGACCUACGGGUGAAGGCAGGGGACCUUCGAACCUGGGCGGAUUGAUGAACCGAUGGCGGAUUAGCUAGUUGGCGGGGUAAAGGCCCACCAAGGCGACGAUCCGUAGCUGGUCUGAGAGGAUGAUCAGCCACACUGGAACUGAGACACGGUCCAGACUCCUACGGGAGGCAGCAGUGGGGAAUAUUGGACAAUGGGCGCAAGCCUGAUCCAGCCAUACCGCGUGGGUGAAGAAGGCCUUCGGGUUGUAAAGCCCUUUUGUUGGGAAAGAAAAGCAGCAGGUUAAUACCCCGCUGUUCUGACGGUACCCAAAGAAUAAGCACCGGCUAACUUCGUG
rnacentral:rRNA from 1 species